UUUAUUAAAAAAAUAAGCCAUUUCAUUAUUAUAUUGCAAUUCAUACUUGAAAUGACAUCUACAGAUUGAGUUUAAAAGGAAAAUUUACUGCAGUAAAUUAUUUUUAGGCCUUGAAUGAAGUUUUUUUGGUUCUAUUAAAUUUUGGCUUAUCGCCCUCCUUUCACUUCUUUCUCAAAGUUUAUUUGAUUUGAUUUUUUAUUUUAUUUUGAAAAGGUUAAUCAUUAAGAGAAUAAUAAUUACCUCCAAAUAGGAGUUUUUGAAUUAUAAAUUUUACCCCUCCAUACCCACCGGC
rnacentral:lncRNA from 1 species